GUGGAUGUGGCAGGGGCAGCUCUGAAAUCUGACAGUCUUUCUUCCACAUGCACAGAGGAGAUUUGCAUUAGACUUAUGCCUCUUUCUGUCAGAGGUGGGGAACUUGCGGCCUUCCAGAUGUUGCCAAACUACAGCUCCUAACAACCCCCUGCCAGCAAUGAGCUCUGCUCGGCUCCCAGGAUCCUUCUCAGCCUUUCAGCAUUCCUUGGCCUUCUAAAUGUUUUAUAGAUGGCCUUGAGAAACUGAUCACCUCUGCAUUCUUCCAGUGAAUUUCACCUCUUGUUUAUUUCCAUGAAUCUUGGGUUGUAGAAUAAAUAUCAUCAAUCACUACAAAUCAUUUGGCAUCUUGAAACACUUUCUUCAGUAGGGCACUU